rnacentral:rRNA from 1 species
UACGUAGGGGGCAAGCGUUGUCCGGAUUUAUUGGGCGUAAAGAGCGUGUAGGCGGCCAGACAGGUCAGCUGUGAAAACUCGAGGCUCAACCUCGAGACGUCGGUUGAAACCGUCUGGCUAGAGUCCGGAAGAGGAGAGUGGAAUUCCCGGUGUAGCGGUGAAAUGCGCAGAUAUCGGGAAGAACACCCGUGGCGAAGGCGGCUCUCUGGGACGGUACUGACGCUGAAACGCGAAAGCGUGGGGAGCGAACAGG